ACUCCUACGGGAGGCAUCAGUGAGGAAUAUUGGUCAAUGGGUGCAAGCCUGAACCAGCCAUCCCGCGUGAAGGAUUAAGGUCCUAUGGAUUGUAAACUUCUUUUGUAUAGGGAUAAACCUACCCUCGUGAGGGUAGCUGAAGGUACUAUACGAAUAAGCACCGGCUAACUCCGUGCCAGCAGCCGCGGUAAUAC
rnacentral:rRNA from 1 species